AGUUACUGCCUAAAUACCUUAAUGUCAUCAUAUCUUGCCUGAACUUAAAAGCUAAACAGGGUCAACCCUAGUUAAUACUUGGAUGGGAGACUACCAAGGAAUACAAGGUGUGGGAUGC
rnacentral:rRNA from 11 species